rnacentral:rRNA from 1 species
CUGCAGUCGAGCGGCAGCGCGGGGCAACCUGGCGGCGAGCGGCGAACGGGUGAGUAAUGCAUCGGAACAUAUCCAUGUCGUGGGGGAUAGCCCGGCGAAAGCCGGAUUAAUACCGCAUACGCCCGAGAGGGGAAAGUGGGGGACCGCAAGGCCUCACGCGAUUGGGUUGGCCGAUGUCCGAUUAGCUAGUUGGCGGGGUAAGAGCCCACCAAGGCGAUGAUCGGUAGCUGGUCUGAGAGGAUGAUCAGCCACACUGGGACUGAGACACGGCCCAGACUCCUACGGGAGGCAGCAGUGGGGAAUUUUGGACAAUGGGGGCAACCCUGAUCCAGCCAUUCCGCGUGAGUGAAGAAGGCCUUCGGGUUGUAAAGCUCUUUUGUCCGGAACGAAACGGAUACGUCUAAUACGCGUGUCUACUGACGGUACCGGAAGAAUAAGCACCGGCUAACUACGUGCCAGCAGCCGCGGUAAUACGUAGGGUGCGAGCGUUAAUCGGAAUUACUGGGCGUAAAGCGUGCGCAGGCGGUUUUGUAAGCCAGAUGUGAAAUCCCCGGGCUUAACCUGGGAAUGGCAUUUGGGACUGCAAGGCUUGAGUUUGGCAGAGGAGACUGGAAUUCCUGGUGUAGCAGUGAAAUGCGUAGAGAUCAGGAGGAAUACCGAUGGCGAAGGCAGGUCUCUGGGCUGAAACUGACGCUCAUGCACGAAAGCGUGGGGAGCAAACAGGAUUAGAUACCCUGGUAGUCCACGCCCUAAACGAUGUCGACUGGUUGUUGGGGGUUUGACACUCUCAGUAACGAAGCUAACGCGUGAAGUCGACCGCCUGGGGAGUACGGCCGCAAGGUUAAAACUC